ACCGCAUACAUCCCGCGCGUCCGCGACGGAGGAACAGCCGGAGCGGCCUCCGCUCUCCAGUCUCCUCGCCUCGUCGGAGGCGCCCGCCGGCCGCGGGCCACCGGGGACUCUUCGGCGCGUGGAGGAUGCACCUGAGGCCCGCCUUUCCUCCCCUGUCUCUCCGCGCUGAGCUGCAUGCUUGGGAUGAAGCCGAACCUGCAACCUCUGUCCCCACCUCUUGGGUCUUGGUGACCUGCAAAGAGGGCUGCAGUGGCCUCCAUCCCAUCCUGCCAUGACAUCAUCCCCAUUGAAGGUGGGGAAACAUUGGCGCCGGCGUGUGAGGUGGUGCUGGACGAGUGAAGCACAGUGCUUGCCUCUGGCGCAUGGCGGGGACGAGCGCAACAGCGCCAUUUUGUUUCUGGGACUUUCCCAAAGGUGUGGCUGGGGACGAGCACCGGGACUUUUGCCUGGUGGCAGCAGGAUGAUGUUCCUGGGACAGAUGUUUGCUUAUAUCAUAGGGGAAAAAGGGUAAGUGCAUGCAUUCCUUAAUUUUUGCUAAUUGAUCGGAAAUGUCAAACAAAUAAAACUGGAUGGAGUGUUUGGCAAAAUUAUUAGAAUUUUAGUUUUGGAAAAUGGAGUAUUAGUAAUCACGGUCAUGAAGCAGACACGCAGAGCAUGACUAUCUAUGUUGGUUCUGUAGAAUAAUUUCUUUUUAUGAUGCAUAUAAGGCAAGCUAAUGCAUGGUAGACUUGAAAAAUGCUCUAUCUGUAUAAGCCUGCACUAUCCCAGAAGUGAUGGGUUGAAGAUGUUGACAUGGAGCAUUGCAUCAUUAAUUCAUUAUAAAGGCUGUUGCUCUAUCAUUGUUGACAAGCGUGUAGCAGGGAAAUCCAAUUGCACAUAAACUAACCACAUCAGUUGCCUACAGUGUAUGGAAAUUGGAAACAAGUGACAUGGUAUAUUGUGCUAUACUUCAUGCCAGGGUUCUCAAAGCGAUAACGUCCUGUGGCGCCUUCGGUACGCCUUAUUGCCUAGGCGACAAGGUGUGACUAGGCCUUUGAGGUGCCUUGGGUAUGCUUUAUCACUUAGGUGACGCCUUGAAAACACUGCUUCAUGCUGUGCUACUCAAUUUUCAAAGAAUCAAUUACUGUGAUUUUUAUCUGAAAUAUAUGUUGGUCCAUCCAAGUUCAACCUAUUUUUUAUCCAUACUUCUAUUGGGGCUCUGAACGCCUUGGUAGUUUUUACAUACCAGUAAUAUCGUUGCUCUAUAUAGCCUUGUGUGCUUGUUGCUUUUAAAGCACCUUGUCUCUAUUUUAGCAGGAUAAGGGCAUGAAUUAUCUUUACUUAUUGUAGUCCUUCUAUUGUUCACUGUGACUUAAAUUCGUAAUUUAUUUUUUGGACAGAAAUGGAUUGUAAAGGUAACUCCUAAAUUCAGUUUCACCAAUCGCCGUGUUUUUCCUUAAAUGUGUGUUGUUCAAUCAGGUCACUGAAUCUGGUCUUUCAUGUCUGAAUCAUGAAGCGUUUCUGAGAAAACUGGACAAAAGAACAUUAAGAAUGAACAAAAUUCAUGUCUAGUGAAAUUGUUAUAAAUUUUGGGUCUGCAACCUUUCUGUGCUAAGUCACUAAAAAUCUGAUGGUUCUCUUUUGUAUACAGCCACAGAUCACCGUGGAUGUCUCCGGGGGUAUUACAUGUUGAACCUUCAGAUGAAAAGUCUGGUUUCUACUUUCUACUGCUAUGGGGUUCUUAUGUUCCCACUUGUUACUAGAAGAUACCCUGGGAUAAUCUCAAUAAAAUGCAGGUUAUUGGAGCUGUGAGUUUCUUGGAUCAAAGGCUAGACAUUCCAAGCGACACAGAUCCCUAAUGGGCAUCCAUGAUCAAGACUUGUUUGGAUAGUGACCCAGGGAAACGCCCUUCAUUUCUAGAGCUGCUGGACAGGUUUAGGGAUGUACAAAAGCGGUACAGCCUGCAGGCUCAGAUGCAGCAGAGUCUGCGGAUGCUCUGCUGAAAUGUGGUGCUGCGAAGAUGAGCCUUGAAGAUUGCUGGCCCCAACUCCAAAUGGAAAUGGCUGUUGCUGUUGUUGGAGAUCAAAUCAAGCAAACAGGAUGGUUCAUGGACGGUAAAGCUCGCGAAUCUAGAAGGCACAACGCGUCUUCCUCGGCUGCUUCCUGGAGGAGCUGUCGCGGAAGUCAAGUUGCAGCAGAGAAAGCUUCAAAGUGAAACCUGAAUGAGAUGAGACUGACAGUGGUUUGCGACAAUUUUUUUUGUGGGUAUGAACACCCAAUUCGCUACGAGCACAAAAAGAAAAGGAUUGUAAGUUGUAUAUGCUGCAUUGAUAAUGAGCAGUGUGGAAAAUCUAUAAAUCUUAGUCAUGAAACUAGCAGGGACUGAACCAAAUCGAUGAGCUUUUGCUUUCUAACAAGCCCCAUCAGAACUACAAAAAUCAAACAAAUUACAUGAAUGAA